rnacentral:tmRNA from 1 species
GGGGACGUAAUGGUUUCGACAGGGGGAUUGUUUCUAGAGUAAGCGAGCAGCGAUGUGGAACCGCUUUAAAAUUCACAAUUAAUUUAACUGGAAAAGCAUUGUAUGGCGAUAAGCCAAAGGGCGAAGGCAGUCUUUUGAACGUCGAUUUUGGACGUAUGAGGGUUGCGGCCUAGGGCUCCGAGAUUUCGGAGCAUGUCGGCAUAUUAAUUACCGCGAUUAGGAUGUUGGCAUAAAAAUCUAGCGGUGAAUGGUUUGGUAGGAGUUUUCGCCGCCAAACGGCUUAAAUGAAAAUACCAAAGCAACUUAGUUUGCUCCUGCACUAGUGCUUUGGGAAUUUGAGGCAGGGCUGCGCUCGGAGAAGCUUUAGAGGCACACCUUUUGGACAGGGGUUCAACUCCCCUCGUCUCCACCA